AUCCAGCUGAUGAGUUCGGAAUAGGACGAGACGCGCGUCCUGGAU
rfam:Schistosoma rodhaini strain Burundi genome assembly, scaffold: SROB_scaffold0000220